rnacentral:rRNA from 1 species
UACGUAGGGUGCGAGCGUUAAUCGGAAUUACUGGGCGUAAAGCGUGCGUAGGCGGUUCGUUAAGUUCGUUGUGAAAGCCCCGGGCUCAACCUGGGAAUGGCAAUGGAAACUGGCGGGCUGGAGUAUGGCAGAGGGGGGUGGAAUUCCGCGUGUAGCAGUGAAAUGCGUAGAGAUGCGGAGGAACACCGAUGGCGAAGGCAGCCCCCUGGGUUAACACUGACGCUCAGGCACGAAAGCGUGGGGAGCAAACAGG